rnacentral:rRNA from 1 species
GAUGAACGCUGGCGGCGUGCCUAAUACAUGCAAGUCGAACGAAACUUCUUUAUCACCGAGUGCUUGCACUCACCGAUAAAGAGUUGAGUGGCGAACGGGUGAGUAACACGUGGGCAACCUGCCCAAAAGAGGGGGAUAACACUUGGAAACAGGUGCUAAUACCGCAUAACCAUAGUUACCGCAUGGUAACUAUGUAAAAGGUGGCUAUACUACCGCUUUUGGAUGGGCCCGCGGCGCAUUAGCUAGUUGGUAGGGUAAAGGCUUACCAAGGCAAUGAUGCGUAGCCGAAUUGAGAGGUUGAUCGGCCACAUUGGGACUGAGACACGGCCCAAACUCCUACGAGAGGCAGCAGUAGGGAAUCUACCACAAUGGGCGAAAGCCUGAUGGAGCAACGCCGCGUGGGUGAAGAAGGUCUUCGGAUCGUAAAACCCUGUUGUUAGAGAAGAAAGUGCGUGAGAGUAACUGUUCACGUUUCGACGGUAUCUAACCAGAAAGCCACGGCUAACUACGUG